rnacentral:rRNA from 1 species
UACAGAGGGUGCGAGCGUUAAUCGGAAUUACUGGGCGUAAAGCGUGCGCAGGCGGCUUUGCAAGACAGAUGUGAAAUCCCCGGGCUUAACCUGGGAACUGCAUUUGUGACUGCAUGGCUGGAGUGCGGCAGAGGGGGAUGGAAUUCCGCGUGUAGCAGUGAAAUGCGUAGAUAUGCGGAGGAACACCGAUGGCGAAGGCAGCCCCCUGGGUUAACACUGACGCUCAGGCACGAAAGCGUGGGGAGCAAACAGG